CAGUCGCCGCGGUAAUACGGAGGGUGCAAGCGUUAAUCGGAAUUACUGGGCGUAAAGCGCACGCAGGCGGUCUGUUAAGUCAGAUGUGAAAUCCCCGGGCUCAACCCGGGAACUGCAUUUGAAACUGGCAGGCUUGAGUCUUGUAGAGGGGGGUAGAAUUCCAGGUGUAGCGGUGAAAUGCGUAGAGAUCUGGAGGAAUACCGGUGGCGAAGGCGGCCCCCUGGACAAAGACUGACGCUCAGGUGCGAAAGCGUGGGGAGCAAACAGGAUUAGAUACCCCAGUAGUCCCUGUCUCUUAUAC
rnacentral:rRNA from 1 species